rnacentral:snRNA from 1 species
GUGCUCGCUUCAGCAGCACAUUAACUAAAAUUGGAACGAUACAGAGGAGAUUAGCAUGGCCCCUGCGCAAGGAUGACACGCAAAUUCGUGAAGUGUUCCAUAUUUUU